GCUGAAACUUAAAGGAAUUGACGGACUCCUACGGGAGGCAGCAGUAAGGAAUAUUGCGCAAUGGGCGAAAGCCUGACGCAGCGACGCCGCGUGGGGGAUGAAGGUCUUCGGAUUGUAAACCCCUUUCGGGAGGGAAGAUGGAAUGGGUAACCAUUCGGACGGUACCUCCAGAAGCAGCCACGGCUAACUUCGUGCCAGCAGCCGCGGUAAUACGAAGGUGGCAAGCGUUGUUCGGAUUCACUGGGCGUACAGGGAGCGUAGGCGGUUUGUUAAGUCAGCUGUGAAAGCCCGGGGCUCAACCCGGGAACUGCGUCCGAUACUGGCAGGCUUGAAUCCGGGAGAGGGAUGCGGAAUUCCAGGUGUAGCGGUGAAAUGCGUAGAUAUCUGGAGGAACACCGGUGGCGAAGGCGGCAUCCUGGACCGGCAUUGACGCUGAGGCGCGAAAGCCAGGGGAGCAAACGGGAUUAGAUACCCCGGUAGUCCUGGCUGUAAACGAUGUCGACUAGAUCGUGGCGGCUCUGACGCUGUCACGGUCGAAGCAAAAGUGCUAAGUCGACCGCCUGGGAAGUACGGUCGCAAGGCUAAAACUUAAAGGAAUUGACG
rnacentral:rRNA from 1 species